ensembl:ncRNA F46G11.17 ncRNA
UGAGGUGGUAAAAUAAAAUAAAUAACAGGUCUAGUUGGCUACUGGUUUCAUAAGGAAAUUAUUGAAAUAGUUUUUGAUUCACUUAUUAUAUUCAAAAACCAAUUUAGAAAAAACAAAAACUAUUCCAGAUAGAUCCUAAUACUU